AAAAGCUCGUAGUUGGAUUUCUGCGGGGACGGAGCGGCCGGACGCAACUUGCGUCUCGAGCUAGCGCUUUCCCCGCAUCCUGCCGCGAACCGUGCUACCAUUAGUUUGGUGGCGCUGGGGAUCGGCUCGAUUACUUUGAGAAAAAUAGAGUGUUCAAAGCAGGCCACACGCCUUGAAUAAGUUAGCAUGGAAUAAUGACUAAGGACUUUGGUUCUUUUCGUUGGUGUUCGGGACUGAAGUAAUGAUUGAUAGGGACAGUUGGGGCGGUCUGUAUUCCAAAGCGAGAGGUGAAAUUCUUAGACCUUCGGAAGACAAACAGCUGCGAAAGCGUUCCGCAAGGAUGUUCCCUUUGAUCAAGAACGAAAGUUGGGGGAUCGAAGACGAUCAGAUACCGUCGUAGUCUCAACUAUAAACUAUACCAGCUAGGGAUCGGCCAACGUUUAAUUAUUCGACUUGGUCGGCACCUUAUGAGAAAUCAAAGCAUCUGGGUUCCGGGGGGAGUAUGGUCGCAAGGCUGAAACUUAAAGGAAUUGACGGAAGGGCACCACCAGGCGUGGAGCCUGUGGCUUAAUUUGACUCAACACGGGAAAACUUACCAGGUCCAGACAUAGGAAGGAUUGACAGAUUGAUAGCUCUUUCUUGAUUCUGUGGGUGGUGGUGCAUGGCCGUUUUUAGUCGGUGAAGUGAUUUGUCUGCUUAAUUGCGUUAACGGACGAGACCCCAGCCUGCUAAAUAGCGCGGCCGAGCUUUGCUCGGUGCGAGCUUCUUAGAGGGACCAUGAUGCGCGAUAGCACAAGGAAGUUUGGGGCAACAACAGGUCUGUGAUGCCCUUAGAUGUUC
rnacentral:rRNA from 1 species